UACGGAGGGUGCGGGCGUUAAUCGGAAUUACUGUGCGUAAAGCGCGCGUAGGCGGCUUGAUAAGCCGGUUGUGAAAGCCCCGGGCUCAACCUGGGAACCGCAUCCGGAACGGACAGGCUAGUGUGCAGGAGAGGAAGGUAGAAUUCCCGGUGUAGCGGUGAAAUGCGUAGAGAUCGGGAGGAAUACCAGUGGCGAAGGCGGCCUUCUGGACUGACACUGACGCUGAGGUGCGAAAGCGUGGGUAGCAAACAGG
rnacentral:misc_RNA from 1 species